rnacentral:rRNA from 1 species
UACGUAGGGUCCGAGCGUUGUCCGGAAUUAUUGGGCGUAAAGAGCUCGUAGGCGGUUUGUCGCGUCUGCUGUGAAAGACCGGGGCUCAACUCCGGUUCUGCAGUGGGUACGGGCAGACUAGAGUGCAGUAGGGGAGACUGGAAUUCCUGGUGUAGCGGUGAAAUGCGCAGAUAUCAGGAGGAACACCGAUGGCGAAGGCAGGUCUCUGGGCCAUUACUGACGCUGAGGAGCGAAAGCGUGGGGAGCGAACAGG